rnacentral:rRNA from 1 species
GAUGAACGCUAGCUACAGGCUUAACACAUGCAAGUCGAGGGGUAACAAGAGAAAAGCUUGCUUUUCUUGUUGACGACCGGCGCACGGGUGAGUAACGCGUAUCCAACCUGCCUAUAACUAGGGAAUAACCUCGCGAAAGUAAGACUAAUACCCUAUGAUUUCCUUUGAUGACAUCAGAUUAGGAAUAAAGAUUUAUCGGUUAUAGAUGGGGAUGCGUCUGAUUAGCUUGUUGGCGGGGUAACGGCCCACCAAGGCAACGAUCAGUAGGGGUUCUGAGAGAAAGGUCCCCCACAUUGGAACUGAGACACGGUCCAAACUCCUACGGGAGGCAGCAGUGAGGAAUAUUGGCCAAUGGGCGGAAGCCUGAACCAGCCAAGUAGCGUGCAGGAUGACGGCCCUAUGGGUUGUAAACUGCUUUUAUACAGGAAUAAAGUUAGCCACGUGUGGUUAUUUGUAGGUACUGUAUGAAUAAGGACCGGCUAAUUCUGUGCCAGCCGCCGCCGUAA